AUUGAACGCUGGCGGCAUGCUUUACACAUGCAAGUCGAACGGUAACAGGCCUUCGGGUGCUGACGAGUGGCGAACGGGUGAGUAAUGCAUCGGAACGUGCCCAGAGGUGGGGGAUAACGCAGCGAAAGCUGUGCUAAUACCGCAUGUGAUCUGAGGAUGAAAGCGGGGGACCAAGCAGCAAUGUUUGGCCUCGCGCCUCUGGAGCGGCCGAUGUCAGAUUAGGUAGUUGGUGGGGUAAAGGCCUACCAAGCCGACGAUCUGUAGCUGGUCUGAGAGGACGACCAGCCACACUGGGACUGAGACACGGCCCAGACUCCUACGGGAGGCAGCAGUGGGGAAUUUUGGACAAUGGGCGCAAGCCUGAUCAAGCAAUGCCGCGUGAGGGAAGAAGGCCUUCGGGUUGUAAACCGCUUUUGUACGGAACGAAAAGGCUCUGGCUAAUACCUGGGGCUGAUGACGGUACCGUAAGAAUAAGCACCGGCUAACUACGUG
rnacentral:rRNA from 1 species